GGAGAGUCCAUGCCAAUUAUACUCUGGCCACAACUGUCAAGGCUAUCAACAAAUUAAAUACUGAUUGCUCGGGCUGCAUGAUAAUGGCCUCGGAACAAUUUGCAUAAAGACUGACCAUCAUCACUUACAGUCUUUACUUCUGAAGUCCUGAUCCCCAUGUCAAUCAUCUCUGGAAACACCCACAAAUACAUCCCAGAAAUGUGUGUUCCCCCACUUUCCUGCAUUUCUCAAGUCAAUCAAUGAAGAUUAAC
rnacentral:lncRNA from 1 species